rnacentral:rRNA from 1 species
AAGCUCGUAGUUGAAUUUCGGGCCUGGCCGGGCGGUCGGCUUAACGGCGUGCACUGUCUGGCUGGGCCUUACCUCUUGGUGAGCUGGCGUGUCCUUUAUUGGAUGCGUCGGGGAACCAGGACUUUUACCUUGAGAAAAUUAGAGUGUUCAAAGCAGGCCUAUGCCCGAAUACAUUAGCAUGGAAUAAUAAAAUUGGACGUUUGAUUCUAUUUUGUUGGUUUCUAGGAUUGACGUAAUGAUUAAUAGGGAUAGUUGGG